CGCCUCACCGACCGGAAGGAAUUCCUUCCGAUUGAUGAGGUGGAACAGCCUCAUCGACCGGAAGGAAUCCCUUCCGGCCGAUGAGGCC
rnacentral:miRNA from 1 species